rnacentral:rRNA from 1 species
AUUGAACGCUGGCGGCAGGCCUAACACAUGCAAGUCGAGCGAGCGGCGGACGGGUGAGUAAUGAAUGGGGAUCUGCCUGAUGGCGGGGGAUCACUACUGGACACGGUAGCUAAUACCGCAUACCAUCAGAUGAACCCAUAUGGGAUUAGCGAGUAGGUGAGGUAACGGCUUACCUAGGCGACGAUCCCUAGCUGGUCUGAGAGGAUGAUCAGCCACACUGGGACUGAGACACGGCCCAGACUCCCACGGGAGGCAGCAGUGGGGAAUAUUGGACAAUGGGCGAAAGCCUGAUGCAGCCAUGCCGCGUGUAUGAAGAAGGCCUUCGGGUUGUAAAGUACUUUCAGUCGGGAGGCGUUACCGACAGAAGAAGCACCGGCUAACUCCGUGCCAGCAGCCGCGGUAAUUC